rnacentral:lncRNA from 1 species
GGGCUAGUACCCCUCGUAUGUACAUGUUCAUGCUGCUCGAUCGGUCUUUUGUUUCUUGUUUUUAUCGGAAGUUCUUCUCGGUACAAGGAAUGAAAGAAGAAUUUAUAUCACGAUAGCUGUAAACAUUUCCUUGUUCCCAUUAAAAAACAUCCCCUUUUUUCUUGUUGUUCUUUGACAUGACGUCUAUUCUCCACGGGUACUACUUCUUCUACC